GUAUACCUUUUAGAUAUCAUUAGACAACUGAAAAUUAGAAGCAAAUACUAUGAAGUCAACAAACCUUCUCUUUGUUUUUUGUGUGAUGCUAUUGGCUUCAUCAAUAUGUAUUCAAGGGGAUGUGACUUGGUGCCCCAAGCAAGAUAUAUUUCCAGGAGGGCCUUGUGGAGCAAAUGGAAGCUCCCAAUGUUUGACUGACUUCUUGGGAAAAUAUGGAGCAAGUAGCAUGCCAAAGAAUUGCCAAUGCCAGACUUCAGGAUCUGAUAAAAGACUUUGCAAUUGUGAAAUUGUUUGUGGAAAAUAAUUAUAUUAUCUGCAUCAGCCAAAGCACUAGAUUUCAUAGAUGUUUAGUUUUAAAAGCUUUGGAAGUUAUUGUAAUAAUAAUGACAUUAAUAAUGGUCACAGCUGAGAAGAUUGUUGUCAAUUCUUAAUAAAUCAGUUAUCUAUCUAUGAACAAUUGUUGUUA